CUCUUAUCGAGAGAGGUGGAGGGAAAUGGCCCUAUGAAGCCCGGCAACCAGUGUGAUAAUUUCACAUACGGUGCCAAUUCCUGCAGAUAAUAUACUGCAAGAUAAGAG
rnacentral:ncRNA from 2 species